UAGAAAAUGGUGUAAUGGAAGCACACGGGGUCUUGAUCCCUAAAGAAGAGGUUCAAGUCCUUUUUUUCUAA
rnacentral:tRNA from 1 species